rnacentral:rRNA from 1 species
ACCUACGGGGGGCAGCAGUGAGGAAUAUUGGUCAAUGGACGAGAGUCUGAACCAGCCAAGUAGCGUGAAGGAUGACUGCCCUAUGGGUUGUAAACUUCUUUUAUAUGGGAAUAAAAUGUUCCACGUGUGGGAUUUUGUAUGUACCAUAUGAAUAAGGAUCGGCUAACUCCGUGCCAGCAGCCGCGGUAAUACGGAGGAUCCGAGCGUUAUCCGGAUUUAUUGGGUUUAAAGGGAGCGUAGGUGGAUUGUUAAGUCAGCUGUGAAAGUCCGCGGCUCAACCGUGGAAUUGCAGUUGAAACUGGAGG